GGGGAAUUUUGCGCAAUGGGGGAAACCCUGACGCAGCAACGCCGCGUGGAGGAUGAAGUCCCUUGGGACGUAAACUCCUUUCGACCGGGACGAAUAAUGACGGUACCGGAAGAAGAAGCCCCGGCUAACUUCGUGCCAGCAGCCGCGGUAAUACAGAGGGGGCAAGCGUUGUUCGGAAUUACUGGGCGUAAAGGGCGCGUAGGCGGCCUUCUAAGUCGAACGUGAAAUCCCCGGGCUCAACCCGGGAACUGCGUCCGAUACUGGAAGGCUCGAAUCCGGGAGAGGGAUGUGGAAUUCCAGGUGUAGCGGUGAAAUGCGUAGAUAUCUGGAGGAACACCGGUGGCGAAGGCGACAUCCUGGACCGGUAUUGACGCUGAGGCGCGAAAGCCAGGGGAGCAAGC
rnacentral:rRNA from 1 species